rnacentral:misc_RNA from 1 species
CGUCAUUACACCCCUCGAGCCCAGCUCGGUGUUGGGGGCCACCUCCCGGGGCGCCCCCGAAAAUCAGCGGCGAUGCGGCCGGUCCUCGAGCGCAGUCAAACUUUUUCGUUCCGCUGCGAGGCCCCGGGCGUGUCCGCCGGACAACCCCCUUACUUUCCACGAUUGACCUCGGAUCAGGUAGGGAUACCCGCUGAACUUAA